CACCACCCAGGGUGGCAGUCAUUAAUUUCAAAACUGUUACAUAAGGUGGGAGGCACAUGGCGUUCUGCUGUGGGAAGGAAGCUGUUAACACAGUUGAACACCUCUUUCUUAACAAAACAGAAAGUGGGUAUAUAUGUGACAGACAGAA
rnacentral:snoRNA from 1 species